UACAGAGGUCUCAAGCGUUGUUCGGAUUCAUUGGGCGUAAAGGGUGCGUAGGCGGCGCGGUAAGUCGGGUGUGAAAUUUCGAGGCUUAACUUCGAAACUGCAUUCGAUACCGCCGUGCUUGAGGACUGGAGAGGAGACUGGAAUUUACGGUGUAGCAGUGAAAUGCGUAGAUAUCGUAAGGAAGACCAGUGGCGAAGGCGGGUCUCUGGACAGUUCCUGACGCUGAGGCACGAAGGCCAGGGGAGCAAACGGG
rnacentral:rRNA from 1 species